UAACCACUGCGCAUACAGCGUCCGGUGUUUACUUGUCAGAAUUCGUGACGCAUAUUCCAUUCGCUCUCAGACAGCAGUUUUACCGGUGAUCAUGGGCAAUAUUCUGAUAAAAUAGCCAUUCAUGGGAAAGCAGAGCGAAAGAAGAUCAUCUCAAUGCAGUCUGGCUGUCAAGUCGCAAAAUCUGUGAAAGGUCGUCUGUCUGGUGGAGAAGCUCUGGACAGCAGAAAUGGUCCACAACCUGUAUUUAGCAGAAAAGAGGAGGAAAUAAUGACAACAAGGCUUCAAGAAUUGUCUCUUGCAUGUUUCUUAUCAUCCGGUGUGUGCGAGUUAGCUAAUUUAUGAUAUGCGGUUAUCUCUUUUAUGAUAUUCGAAGAGAUUAAAACGCAUUGUAUCAAGCAAUUAAUAUCUCUUUUGUCACAAGGUUUUUGGAAAGUCAUGUGCUACAUGAUGCAAGUUGGUGUUAGGUUGUAAGGAGAUCAGUGUAUUUGCACCAUUUUAUUCUAUGCCGAGGUACUGAUGUUUUUAGCAUACUAUUUACUCUUUAUUUCAUUUCAUGAUCUAUUUUUGCGCCAUGUUAUUCUUAUGCACAGGUACUGCUUUUGUGUGCAUAAUAUG